GAUGAACGCUGGCGGCGUGCCUAAUACAUGCAAGUCGAGCGAACGGACGAGAAGCUUGCUUCUCUGAUGUUAGCGGCGGACGGGUGAGUAACACGUGGAUAACCUACCUAUAAGACUGGGAUAACUUCGGGAAACCGUAGCUAAUACCGGAUAAUAUUUUGAACCGCAUGGUUCAAAAGUGAAAGACGGUCUUGCUGUCACUUAUAGAUGGAUCCGCGCUGCAUUAGCUAGUUGGUAAGGUAACGGCUUACCAAGGCAACGAUGCAUAGCCGACCUGAGAGGGUGAUCGACCACACUGGAACUGAGGCACGGUCCAGACUCCUACGGGAGGCAGCAGUAGGGAAUCUUCCGCAAUGGGCGAAAGCCUGACGGAGCAACGCCGCGUGAGUGAUGAAGGUCUUCGGAUCGUAAAACUCUGUUAUUAGGGAAGAACAUAUGUGUAAGUAACUGUGCACAUCUUGACGGUACCUAAUCAGAAAGCCACGGCUAACUACGUG
rnacentral:rRNA from 1 species